UACAGAGGUGGCAAGCGUUGUUCGGAAUUACUGGGCGUAAAGGGCGCGUAGGCGGCCAUCUAAGUCAGACGUGAAAUCCCCCGGCUUAACCUGGGAACUGCGUCUGAUACUGGAAGGCUUGAGUAUGGGAGAGGGAUGUAGAAUUCCAGGUGUAGCGGUGAAAUGCGUAGAGAUCAGGAAGAACACCAGUGGCGAAGGCGCUCUGCUAGGCCGUAACUGACACUGAGGGACGAAAGCUAGGGGAGCGAAUGGG
rnacentral:rRNA from 1 species